AUUGAACGCUGGCGGAAUGCUUUACACAUGCAAGUCGAGCGGCAGCGCGGGGGCAACCCUGGCGGCGAGCGGCGAACGGGUGAGUAAUACAUCGGAACGUGUCCUUAAGUGGGGGAUAGCUCGGCGAAAGCCGGAUUAAUACCGCAUAAGCUCUGAGGAGGAAAGCGGGGGCUCCGUAAGGACCUCGCGCUGUUGGAGCGGCCGAUGUCGGAUUAGCUAGUUGGUGGGGUAAAGGCCCACCAAGGCGACGAUCCGUAGCUGGUCUGAGAGGAUGAUCAGCCACACUGGAACUGAGACACGGUCCAGACUCCUACGGGAGGCAGCAGUGGGGAAUAUUGGACAAUGGGCGCAAGCCUGAUCCAGCGAUGCCGCGUGUGUGAAGAAGGCCUGCGGGUUGUAAAGCACUUUCAGUAGGGAAGAAAGCCGAGUGCUAAUAUCACUCGGUCUUG
rnacentral:rRNA from 1 species